rnacentral:rRNA from 1 species
UACGUAGGGGGCAAGCGUUGUCCGGAAUCAUUUGGGCGUAAAGAGCGAUGUAGGCGGCCUGGUAAGUCCGCUGUGGAAAGUCCAGGGCUCAACCCUGGAAUGCCCGGUGGAAACUGUCAGGCUGAGUCCCGGAAGAGGCGAGUGGAAUUCCUGGUGUAGCGGUGAAAUGCGUAGAUAUCAGGAGGAACACCGGUGGUGUAGACGGCUUCUGGACCGU